ensembl:misc_RNA Y_RNA Y RNA
GGCCUCCCAGAGUGCAGGGAUUGCAGGCUGAGCCACCAUACCUGGCCCAGAUAAAUUUCUUUUACCCUACUCUACUUCCACUGCUUUACUUGACUAGCCUUAA